GAUGAACGCUGGCGGCGUGCCUAAUACAUGCAAGUCGAGCGAACAGACGAGGAGCUUGCUCCUCUGACGUUAGCGGCGGACGGGUGAGUAACACGUGGAUAACCUACCUAUAAGACUGGGAUAACUUCGGGAAACCGGAGCUAAUACCGGAUAAUAUAUUGAACCGCAUGGUUCAAUAGUGAAAGACGGUUUUGCUGUCACUUAUAGAUGGAUCCGCGCCGCAUUAGCUAGUUGGUAAGGUAACGGCUUACCAAGGCAACGAUGCGUAGCCGACCUGAGAGGGUGAUCGGCCACACUGGAACUGAGACACGGUCCAGACUCCUACGGGAGGCAGCAGUAGGGAAUCUUCCGCAAUGGGCGAAAGCUUGACGGAGCAACGCCGCGUGAGUGAUGAAGGUCUUCGGAUCGUAAUACUCUGUUAUUAGGGAAGAACAAAUGUGUAAGUAACUAUGCACGUCUUGACGGUACCUAAUCAGAAAGCCACGGCUAACUACGUG
rnacentral:rRNA from 1 species